CGUACCAGACCAAUAUCGGAGCCGCUGAACAGGUCGCCGCUGCUGGCGGCCCAAUUGGGAUGCGGAAUCCAUUCAUCGGCACUUACGGGGCCGUUUUCGAACUCGACAUGGAGCGAGUCGAUCCCGGCACCCUGCAAGUCGGUGCCCUCGAUGACGUGGGCCGCCGUCAGGACCCACUCCGGCUCGAUCAAGACGCCGGUCGCCCCGAUUCCAGUCGCAUUCACGUGCGCCCCGAUGCGACCCACCGACGCAAAGCGGGCAUCGGCUGCAAGGUCCGCGUGCGGUCCAACCGAAACGUCGUGACGGAUGACGGCGGCACCUGCAGACGCUGAAAGAGCUGAAAGAUACGUCCACAACGUUAGCGACACUAGCAAACUGCCAAAGCUGCGAAU
rnacentral:misc_RNA from 1 species